UACGGAGGAUGCGAGCGUUAUCCGGAUUUAUUGGGUUUAAAGGGUGCGUAGGCGGAUCGUUAAGUCAGUGGUUAAAUUGAGGGGCUCAACCCCUUCCCGCCAUUGAAACUGGCGAUCUUGAGUGGAAGAGAAGUAUGCGGAAUGCGUGGUGUAGCGGUGAAAUGCAUAGAUAUCACGCAGAACCCCGAUUGCGAAGGCAGCAUGCCGGCUUCCUACUGACGCUGAAGCACGAAAGCGUGGGGAUCGAACAGG
rnacentral:rRNA from 1 species